AGAGUUUGAUUAUGGCUCAGAGUGAACGCUGGCGGCGUGCUUAACACAUGCAAGUCGAACGAGAACGGAUUAUAGCUUGCUAUAUGUCAGCUAAGUGGCGCACGGGUGAGUAAUGUAUAUUAGGGAUUUGCCUUUGCGUGGGGGAUAACUAUUGGAAACGAUGGCUAAUACCGCAUAACGUCUUCGGACCAAAGGGGGCUUUCGGGCUCUCGCGCAAAGAGAAACCUAAGCGAGAUUAGCUUGUUGGUGAGGUAAAGGCUCACCAAGGCGACGAUCUCUAGCUGUUCUGAGAGGAAGAUCAGUCACACUGGAACUGAGACACGGUCCAGACACCUACGGGUGGCAGCAGUGGGGAAUAUUGCACAAUGGGGGAAACCCUGAUGCAGCCAUGCCGCGUGUGUGAAGAAGGCCUUCGGGUUGUAAAGCACUUUCAGUUGUGAGGAAAGGGUAGCGGUUAAUACCCGUUAUCUGUGACGUUAGCAACAGAAGAAGGACCGGCUAACUCCGUGCCAGCAGCCGCGGUAAUACGGAGGGUCCGAGCGUUAAUCGGAAUUACUGGGCGUAAAGCGCGCGUAGGUGGUUAGGUAAGUUGGAUGUGAAAGCCCCGGGCUUAACCUGGGAACUGCAUUCGAAACUGCCUAGCUAGAGUACGAUAGAGGGGGGUAGAAUUUCAGGUGUAGCGGUGAAAUGCGUAGAGAUCUGAAGGAAUACCAGUGGCGAAGGCGGCCCCCUGGGUUGAUACUGACACUGAGGUGCGAAAGCGUGGGUAGCAAACAGGAUUAGAUACCCUGGUAGUCCAUGCCGUAAACGAUGUCAACUAGCCGUUGGAAGACUUGAUCUUUUAGUGGCGCAGCUAACGCAAUAAGUUGACCGCCUGGGGAGUACGGCCGCGAGGUUAAAACUCAAAUGAAUUGACGGGGGCCCGCACAAGCGGUGGAGCAUGUGGUUUAAUUCGAAACAACGCGAAGAACCUUACCUACUCUUGACAUCCUCAGAACUUAGCAGAGAUGCUUUGGUGCCUUCGGGAACCGAGUGACAGGUGCUGCAUGGCUGUCGUCAGCUCGUGUUGUGAAAUGUUGGGUUAAGUCCCGUAACGAGCGCAACCCUUAUCCUUAUUUGCCAGCGAGUAAUGUCGGGAACUCUAAGGAGACUGCCGGUGACAAACCGGAGGAAGGCGGGGACGAGGUCAAGUCAUCAUGGCCCUCACGGGAUGGGCUACAAACGUGCUACAAUGGGGGGUACAAAGGGCUGCAAACUCGCGAGAGUAAGCGAAUCCCAAAAAACCCCUCGUAGUCCGGAUCGGAGUCUGCAACUCGACUCCGUGAAGUCGGAAUCGCUAUUAAUCGCGAAUCAGAAUGUCGCGGUGAAUACGUUCCCGGGCCUUGUACACACCGCCCC
rnacentral:rRNA from 1 species